GCCAACAUUUCUCAAAGAAAACUCCUUGAUUUGGGUUAAGGAGGCGAGGAAGUAACCACGUAGUUUUCGAGGUUGUUGAGUUCAGUAGACAUAACAUAAAUAUAUAAAUAGGUUAUAAUAAUACACAACAACCUUUAGUCAGGGUUCCCAGAAGCUUAAAUGGGUUUCCGAUUACCACUUCAUCUUCUUCCUUGAAACCACGCAUCUCAUGGCAAUGGCGCUCGACGCUGCAGUUUGGAUCGCAAAGAUGACAUGGAUUGCUCUCAGUGGCUGGAUUAGUUCUUGUUUAACUGUUGCUGAUGAAUUUGCCUCUUCUCUACGUUCUGGCGAUAUUGGCCCUUUUCAUGUGGGUUGACUCAAUUAUGUCUUUUUCUUCCAACGGUAAUGGCUACACAGCAUCACUUUUUUGUACUUUUCGAUUGCCCUUCAAACUAGGCUUGAUUUGAUGUACUGGGUAUGUGUCAAAACCUGUUCUUUUAGUCUUGCUUGUGCGUUUUGAGCUGGAGUCUAGUGGGUGGUUCUUGUUUGUAUUUUUGGGUUAGAGAAAAGGGUGUGUUUGUGUUGUGAGAUUGGGUUUCCUUGAUUUGGGAAAUUGCGAUUUCUUGUUUAAGGGUGUUUGUUGCAGGUUGUUGAUUGCUUUGUUUCGGGAUGAAUUCGAAUGCUAACACGAUAGGGGUAAGUCUGGAGGAUCACAUUUGGUUUGGCAUUUUUUUGCUCUGUUAAGUAGAAAAUAUUAGGUUGGCUUAUUAUAUAUGGUCCAUUCUCUGUCUGUGGUGUUCAAUGUAAGAAGAGUUAAUGCGUUAAUAGAAUGAGAACAUCUAAGAGUAAGUUGGCCCAUCUGUUGUUGUGAUGUUCUUUUCAUCUUGUUGUCAUGUUUGAUGAGAAUUACUGCUUGGGAUUGAAUAUUCAACUUAUGAAAACAAUCUCUGAAUCUGUUUUCGUUGCUCUG